GAGUUCUUCUUAGUCCAGUCUUCUAGUCCAAGACCCAAUGGUGGACUUCCUUCUAAAGUUGUUCUGCUGUAGGGUGAUAUAAACGUAUCACUGCAGUCUUAAUUUCCUUCUUGGACAGCUUUGGAAAGCCAGGGUCAUCCACCCCAGUAAAUUGGACUUAUUCAGAGUAGGCAUGUUCAGACAACAAAUGGAAGGUUUAAGGCAGUUGUUGAAAUAAAGGUCCCGUCACAAAGACUGUAGAAGAACAGUUGCUUCCCAACAUUUUAAGAUGCGUGGACUUCCAUCUCUCAGAAUACCCCAACCAUUCUAUCUUUCUUUUGGCACGUUCUGCUCAGUACUUUUUUUUCCCCCAGGGUCAUCAGGAUCUGAACAGAGAUCUGGACCCCUUUGAAAACGGAAAUAUGGGUGAAAACGGAAAUAUUUCCCCCUCUUACCUUAUUGAAUUCCUUCUUUCUGUUUUCUCUUUCUGGUUUGGUGGCAGCUGGUCAGGGAGUCCCCAAGGCUGGAAAUUUCAGAAGACGAGGCAGACGUGGCUUCUUCUGCACAUGUACGACAAAGACCAGGUCCCCGAUCAAUACUUUUCCAUUUUGCUACGGUAUCUGGAAGGACUUCAAGGCCGUGCCCGAGACACAACGGUGCAGAAAGCAGAAGCUCUGAUGAAGGAGUACGAUCAAUCUGACAUGGAAGAUGAGCUCCUGGAAGGAAAACGUGGACGUAUCCGCAAAGUUUUGCAGUUGCUCUCCUGACUUUUCAGUGUCUUAAAUCCUUCCAUCGGCAUAAAGUUACAAGGACCAGAUAUCCAUUUUUAGCCAUUCUUUAAAUUCUUGGCCACAAACCCGAUGUUGCUUGGAAAUCUCUUCCAGGGUUGCCAAGGAAGUGGAAGAAAUAACUUUUUAAAAAAAAAAAAACCCAAUAAACGGGUCGGUAUUGAAAACAA